AACGCACAUUGCGCCCGCCAGUAUUCUGGCGGGCAUGCCUGUUCGAGCGUCAUUUCAACCCUCAAGCCCCCGGGCUUGGUGUUGGGGACCGGCCGCCUCACCGCGCGCCGCCCCCGAAAUGCAGUGGCGACCUCGCCGCAGCCUCCCCUGCGUAGUAGCACAACCUCGCACCGGAGCGCGGAGACGGUCACGCCGUAAAACGCCCAACUUUCUUAGAGUUGACCUCGGAUCAGGUAGGAAUACCCGCUGAACUUAA
rnacentral:misc_RNA from 1 species